GAUGAACGCUGGCGGCGUGCCUAAUACAUGCAAGUCGAGCGAACAGACGAGGCUCUUUCUCCUCAGACGUUAGCGGCGGGCGGGUGAGUAACACGUGGCUUACCUACCUCUAAGACUUGGGUAACUUCGGGAAACCCGAGCUCCUACCGGGUACUCUUUUUGACCGCUUGGUUUACUAGUGACAGACCGUUUUUCUUUCCCUUAUAGAUGUAUCCGCUCCGUAUUGGCUUGUUGGUAAGGUAACGGCUUACCAAGGCGCCGAUGCGUAGCCGACCUGAGAGGGUGAUCGGCCAAACUGGAACUGAGACACGGUCCAGGCUCCUAAGGGAGGCAGCAGAAGGGAAUCUUCCGCAAAGGGCGAAAGCCUGACGGAGCAACGCCGCGUGAGUGAUGAAGGUCUUCGGAGCGUAAAACUCUGUUAUUAGGGAAGAACAAAUGUGUAAGUAACUAUGCACGUCUUGACGGUACCUAAUCAGAAAGCCACGGCUAACUACGUG
rnacentral:rRNA from 1 species